AAAAAGACAAACCCUGGAUUUCCGUGUCCAACUUUAACUGUCCGUCUUAUAUGAAAUAUUUUUAUAAUUCGUAUUUUUAUUUUGUUAGAUGAUAAAACAUAAUUAAUAUUUUAUGCGUGACUUGUCUUUUUAAUUUUUUUUAUAAUUUUUUCAAAUAAGAUAAAUGGUCAAACGUUAGACACGGAAACC
rnacentral:pre_miRNA from 1 species